rnacentral:tRNA from 1 species
ACCUAGGUGGCUCAGUCAGUUAAGCAUCUGACUUCAGCUCAGGUCAUGAUCUCACAGUUUGUGGGUUCGAGCCCCACAUCAGGCU